rnacentral:rRNA from 1 species
UACGUAGGGGGCAAGCGUUGUCCGGAAUCAUUGGGCGUAAAGAGCGUGUAGGCGGUCCGGUAAGUCGGCUGUGAAAGCCCAGGGCUCAACCCUGGGAUGCCGGUCGAUACUGCCGGACUAGAGUUCGGAAGAGGCGAGUGGAAUUCCCGGUGUAGCGGUGAAAUGCGCAGAUAUCGGGAGGAACACCUAUGGCGAAGGCAGCUCGCUGGGACGUUACUGACGCUGAGACGCGAAAGCGUGGGGAGCAAACAGG